GGGGGCGUAGCUCAGCGGGAGAGCACCUGCCUUGCACGCAGGGGGUCGCAAGUUCAAAUCUUGUCGCCUCCA
rnacentral:tRNA from 1 species